UAGAAGUUGGAUGGGUGUCACUCU
rnacentral:piRNA from 1 species